rnacentral:rRNA from 1 species
ACAAGCAGCGAGCGUGUGGUUAAUUCGAUGUUACACGAAGAACCUUACCUGGGUUUGACAUAGCAGUGUAGGAAGAGAAAUCGGACCGACCCUUCGGGGAGCUGUUACAGGUGUUGCAUGGCUGUCGUCAGCUCGUGUCGUGAGAUGUUCGGUUAAGUCCGCUAACGAGCGCAACCCGCGUUGUGUGUUAUAUGUGUCACACAAUACCGCCGGUAUUAAGCCGGAGGAAGGUGCGGAUGACGUCAAGUCAGCAUGACCUUUAUAUCCAGGGCUACACACGCGCUACAAUGGACAGUACAACAGGUUGCCAAGCCGCGAGGCGGAGCCAAUCCUCUAAAGCUGUCCUCAGUUCAGAUUGCAGGCUGCAACUCGCCUGCAUGAAGUUGGAGUUGCUAGUAACCGCAGGUCAGCUAUACUGCGGUGAAUACGUUCCCGGGGAUU